GAUGAACGCUAGCGGCAGGCCUAAUACAUGCAAGCUGAACGGUAAAUGUUGUAGCAAUACGAUAUGAGAGUAGCGUAAGGGUGCGUAACACGUAUGCAAUCUGCCCGCAACAGGAGGAUAGCUCCCCGAAAGGGGAAUUAAUACUCCAUAAGAUCACGAAGGGCAUCUGAUUGUGAUUAAACUCCAAGGGGUUGCGGAUGAGCAUGCGUCUGAUUAGCUAGUUGGUGAGGUAACGGCUCACCAAGGCGAUGAUCAGUAGGGGAACUGAGAGGUUGAUCCCCCACACUGGCACUGAGAUACGGGCCAGACUCCUACGGGAGGCAGCAGUAGGGAAUAUUGGUCAAUGGGUGAGAGCCUGAACCAGCCAUGCCGCGUGCAGGAAGACGGCCUUCUGGGUUGUAAACUGCUUUUGUCAGGGGAUAAAAUACCCGUGCGCGGGGAAUUGAAGGUACCUGAUGAAUAAGCCACGGCUAACUACGUGCCAGCAGCCGCCGUAACAC
rnacentral:rRNA from 1 species